UACGUAGGGUGCGAGCGUUAAUCGGAAUUACUGGGCGUAAAGCGUGCGCAGGCGGUUCUCCAAGUCCGUUGUGAAAGCCCCGGGCUCAACCUGGGAAUGGCAGUGGAAACUAGGGGACUUGAAUCUGGCAGAGGGGGUGGAAUUCCACGUGUAGCAGUGAAAUGCGUAGGAGAUGUGGAGACACCGAUGGCGAAGGCAGCCCCCUGGGCUGAGAUUGACGCUCAGGCACGAAAGCGUGGGGAGCAAACAGG
rnacentral:rRNA from 1 species